UCUAAAAACAAAUGAUUACAUUAUGAUUUACAAAUAUUCAUAUGUUUUAUACAAAUUGGCAUUUAUGGUUCAUUUGAUCAUCCUGACGUAGGUCAAAUAAAAAUGCUGUAAUUGGAACAUCGAUUGAACGAUCGAUGCCAAUAGUCUCUAGAGGACACAAAGCAAAACAAGCCCGCAGAUCAGCGAUUAAGAAUAAUAAGUCAUCAUGACACAAUAUUCGCGUAGACGUUAAGAUCUUUUGCAAGAGCAGCAAAAAAUAAGACAAUAAAUUUUUUCAUGCUGAUAAAAAUCAUUCAUCUAGAAAAUUUUAGAAGAAACUGUGUACAUAAUUUAAGUAUGCGACCAUCUUGCAACGCAUUAGAAAAUGUCUCAAACAAUAUUACGGAAAUAUUAUUUUAAUCACAAACCUCUUCCUUAGUAGGAAUGUAAAUUGUACGUGGUCCAGGUUUUGUGAGGAAUUUAUUUACUAAACGAAUGUUAGCGAACGUGCCUCGUACCAUUACAGCGUCGUUACCUCUUCGUGCACCGUAAGAAUUGAAUUCUUUUGGUGUCAAUCUAGAAGUCAAGAUAAAAUAAUUAAUUAAAUAUUUAUUUAUCCUGUU